rnacentral:lncRNA from 1 species
AGAUAACCUAAAAAUUUAGUAAAAAUUUUGAUUGGAAAAAAAUGCAUCGAUAAGGGGGUGAAAAAUGGAAAUUAGUGGCUUUUUUUGCUGUACUCAACUGUACUGUUUAGUAUGCUAGUUUUGGCUAUGGCUGGAUCUGUUAAACAAUUAUAAUCAGCUGAAAGUGGUCUACAAAAAACCAGAUAUAACCAAAAUAAAGAUAUAAAAAGUGUAUUGGCUAAUUGGAAGAAACAACAUUGUCCAUGCAUAAUAAGUUAUUACUUUAUAAACAAAUAUUAAUACCUAGGAAUGGAACCUGGAUAUAAUCAUCAAGAAGAUAGCAGGAAUCCCGACAAACAACUUAAAUAAGUACAAGAAUAUUGAGGAAAUCCUCCUCGAUACUACUGGGCAAACUAGAAGAUUGAAGAGGACAAAGCCUUUUGAACUAGUUUGAGUGAUAGGUGAUAGUGAAAAGCAGAGCAUAGUGCGUGAUGUGGCUGUGUAUGUUAGAAUAGUGCACGAUCUUGUUAGAUUAGAUAAGAGACGCUAUCGGGUAAGCUCUUCAUUUUAAGAAACAUUAGUAAUUUAGGUUAAAUUAAAAUUGCUCAUUGGUCAGUUAUGACCAGAUUGCUUUUUUUAUGUUUGGCAAAAAGGGCGUAAGUCAGAAUUGCACAUUGCUAAUGUUUUGAUGAUUUCUGGACCAGCAAAAAACUGUUGUAGACGUAAACUGUAUGUACCAAUAAAAAGAGCCGAUUUUUCUGGUCCAGAAA